rnacentral:rRNA from 1 species
GACGAACGCUGGCGGCGUGCUUAACACAUGCAAGUCGAACGGAAAGGCCCUGCUUUUGUGGGGUGCUCGAGUGGCGAACGGGUGAGUAACACGUGAGUAACCUGCCCUUGACUUUGGGAUAACUUCAGGAAACUGGGGCUAAUACCGGAUAGGAGCUCCUGCUGCAUGGUGGGGGUUGGAAAGUUUCGGCGGUUGGGGAUGGACUCGCGGCUUAUCAGCUUGUUGGUGGGGUAGUGGCUUACCAAGGCUUUGACGGGUAGCCGGCCUGAGGGGGUGACCGGCCACAUUGGGACGGAGAUACGGCCCAGACUCCUACGGGAGGCAGCAGUGGGGAAUAUUGCACAAUGGGCGGAAGCCUGAUGCAGCAACGCCGCGUGCGGGAUGACGGCCUUCGGGUUGUAAACCGCUUUCGCCUGUGACGAAGCGUGAGUGACGGUAAUGGGUAAAGAAGCACCGGCUAACUACGUG